rnacentral:lncRNA from 1 species
GAUCGCCGCGACUCAACGCUCGCGAUCUCGCGCGAGAUUUUUCCUCGCUGAGGAGACUGCUUGGCUCACGAGAGAGAGAGAGAGAGAGAGACAUGAAUCGACCUUCCUUCCUGCUAGGUACAAGAUUGAUAAGGUCUGGAGGCAUCUAGUAUAAUCGGACCAGUUUGCGGCAGCAAGUCUUCGUCAUCGACCGAAGUUCGUGUUUCUUCCUUCCUGGCGCCUUGCAGCAGAGCUUUAUCGCGGUGGAUCAAAGGCGCGCAGGAAUACACGGAUCUUGUCUGAGUGUUUCAAGUCACAUCACGAUCAUUUAAUUUAUUAAUAUUUUGUGUAUUUCGCGGAAGUGCGAAAAGUCGCGCGAUCGUAUUUCCGUUUCGUGUUUUCGCGAGUGUUGUGCAACGAUGAAGAUCUGAGAGGAAGAGGUGGACAAGGAGGCCUUGGAGAUAUUGGCUGACGAUGGAAAACAACCGUAGGGAUGCACAAGAUGGCUUGGGUGAGUCGCAGGACACACGGGUCUGAUUGUCUGUCCAUCGCAAACAGGGCACAGGCAGCACACGUAACAGGCACGCCGAACGUGUACCGGAUGGAUCGUUCCGUGUUCCAAGUAUUACAAGAGCGAUCUCCUGCGUGUCAAGACUGCCGAUGUGGCAAGAGACCGGGCGCGGGCUCUUCUUCGUGUGCCACCUUCGCCAAGAACGCCAGGGUGUGGCGCCAGAGUCCGGAGAACGACCUUAGACACGACCUCGUCUGAGACUGACAAAAGCCGCGCUGAUCACAUCUCCGGCAGCUGAGAGAGGACGAGAACUUGAAUUCCACUUGUUCUUGAUCACCGAUCGAUCAGCCAUAGGCUGUGUAAAUACGUGAUGCACUGCAUUGGAUCGUUUUUUAAACAAUCGCAUAUUGUUUUAAGAAUAUUUUCCGUAAUUCUUAUAUUUUUAUAUUUCUAACAUUGAAUCAUAUUGAAACUAGACUAGAAUACUACUAUACCAUCGAUAGUAAUAUAAAUAUUCCGUCAUAUAAAAUACUAUCACUUUUCAAAUGAUACAAAUUUCAAUAUUAAAUCAUCUUUUCUUGACUCUUUAGUAUUUAUGUUUUUAAAACUAUCGAAAUACAAAAAAACAAUCGCUGUAUGAUUGUAUGUUAAAAAAUUAAUAUGGGUUCUUUUGAAAACAAGUUAAACAAUACGAUUUCAAAUUUUUUGCGACGAGUUCUUAACAGAUCAGUUCGAUGGGUAAUCUGCUGAAAUCGACUGGAAAUAAUUAUCGGACAAUUAGCGAUGAUCCAAAUACUUUGGUACUCGCGACUUCGCCGUAGGCUACAGUCAUGUAAACGACCCACGUUGGGAGCUGGAAGUUGGGAGCGGAUAGACAAGUUUACAUCGCUACGCAACGGUCAGCAUGUUCUGUAAGUGUAUCGUCGAGUACGUAACAGGAAGUAACGCGAUGCGAAUAUUAACGAGCGGGCGCGCACCGCGAAAGCGUUUACGGUUCGUUCUCUGCGCUGUACGCACGCCUUUGCCUUCGCAUUUUGCAACACGUGCAAUACGCGCGCGCAUCGAUGUUUUCACACCACAUCAGCCUCGACAGCGUUUCGCAGAAUUGACGCAAACAAUACAUAAUGCUUCACCUCGCAUUCCAAAGUCGCGAAAAUUAAGUUUUAAAGAUAAAGGCUAAAUAUGUAGAAAAUUAUGUUUAAAAAACAAUUAAAUAUCUGCAAUAUUUUAUGAAAUAAAAAAUAUAUGUUAUUGCCUUUUCUGCCAUUGUAACUUUUAAAUAAAAAUAUCUUGUAUAUUUUAAAAUAUGAGUAUUCACAAAUGGACUGUGAUCCAAAAUUUGGAUGGCAAAGAUCGUGUGAAAUUAGAAGACUUUAGAUGUUUUAAUCAUGUUUAUAACUUAACAUUGGUAAUUAGAUGAAAUACUAAAAUAGUUAUAUAAAACAAAUCUUUAAAAUUUAUCAAGAUACAAUAACUUUAUAGGAAAUAUAUUGGAAUAUCUAUAAUUAUUUUAAAUUAAUUCUUUAUAAUAAACCAUAUUAUAUGAGAUACAAUAGACAAAUCUUAUAUCAGAUAGGCCAUAUAAGAAAGGAACAAUAAGUGUAUAUUAUUUUCGCAUUACUCACAUUAUAUGUGCAAUCACAAUAAAAUGCCAUAGAU